UACAGAGGUCUCAAGCGUUGUUCGGAUUCAUUGGGCGUAAAGGGUGCGUAGGCGGCGCGGUAAGUCGGGUGUGAAAUCUCGGAGCUUAACUUCGAAACUGCAUUCGAUACUGCCGUGCUUGAGGACUGGAGAGAGACUGGAAUUUACGGUGUAGCGGUGAAAUGCGUAGAUAUCGUAAGGAAGACCAGUGGCGAAGGCGGGUCUCUGGACAGUUCCUGACGCUGAGGCACGAAGGUCAGGGGAGCAAACAGG
rnacentral:rRNA from 1 species